rnacentral:tRNA from 1 species
GGGUCGUUGGCUGAGCGGCGAAAGCAUCCGGCUGUAAACCGGACACAGGGUAGCCAGUCCCACACCGCAGGUUCGAGUCCUGCACGGCCCA